rnacentral:rRNA from 1 species
GUGGGGAAUAUUCCGCAAUGGACGAAAGUCUGACGGAGCAACGCCGCGUGAGUGAUGAAGGUUUUCGGACUGUAAAGCUCUGUUGUUUAGGACGAAAGUGCCUGUUGCGAACAGUUACAGGUAUUGACGGUACUAAACGAGGAAGCCACGGCUAACUACGUGCCAGCAGCCGCGGUAAUACGUAGGUGGCAAGCGUUGUCCGGAAUUAUUGGGCGUAAAGCGCAUGUAGGCGGAGAUUUAAGUAUGUUGUGAAAAUGCGGGGCUCAACCCCGUAUUGCGAUGGAAACUGAAUUUCUUGAGUGUCGGAGAGGAGAGUGGAAUUCCAAGUGUAGCGGUGAAAUGCGUAGAGAUUUGGAAGAACACCAGUGGCGAAGGCGACUUUCUGGACGAUGUCUGACGCUGAGGCGCGAAAGCUAGGGGAGCGAACGGGAUUAGAAACCCCGGUAGUCC